UUUUAGUUUGACCCCCCGAAACCAAGUGAGCUACUCCUAAACAGCUUUUAGGGCUAACCCGUCUCUGUUGCAAAAGAGUGGGAUAAUUUAUGAGUAGAGGUGACAGACCUAUCGAACUUAGAGAUAGCUGGUUUUUUAAGAAAAGAAUUUUAGUUCAGCCUCAAGCUUCCCUUUAACCAAAAAAUCACCCAAGGCUUGAGAGUUAUUCAAAUAAGGCACAGCUUAUUUGAAACAGGACACAACCUAGAAUACAGGGUAAAAACAGACUAAUUGACUAAUAAGUGGGCCUAAAAGCAGCCACCUUUCAAAAAGCGUCAAAGCUUGGUAGUGCCAAUUUUCCCAAUAACCUACAUACUUUUUAACCCGCACACACUAUUAAAUAAAUCCAUAAAGCUAUGGAAGCUAUAAUGCUAGAACAAGUAACAAGAAAAAGAAUUUCUUCAAAAUGUAAGCCUCAGCCGCAAUAGACAACCUGCCGGCGAUUAACGCCCAUGAGCCCAAUAUUACAACACUNCAAGAAAACCCUAUGCCCCCCNNNNNNGUCACCCUUACACCAGCACAUUUAUGGAAAGAUUAAAAGAGCGGGAAGGAACUCGGCAAAUUNUGAUCCCGCCUGUUUACCAAAAACAUCGCCUUUUGAUUAAAUAUAAAAGGUCCAGCNUGCCCGGUGACAAGAUUUAACGGCCGCGGUACCCUAACCGUGCGAAGGUAGCAUAAUCACUUGUUCUUUAAAUGAGGACUCGUAUCAACGGCAUCACGAGGAUCNUACUGUCUCCCCCCUCUAAUCGGUGAAACUGAUCUCUCCGUGAAGAAGCGGAGAUGUACAUAUAAGACGAGAAGACCCCAUGGAGCUUUAAACCCAACAACACCCGCCCCCCUCCAAAUCCUAUUAUUUACCCGGUGAUUGUUUGUUUGGUUUUAGGUUGGGGUGACCGCGGAGUAUAAGAUAUCCUCCAUGAAAAAAAGCUAACUGCCCUUAUUAGAGAAAGACACUUCCAAAAAAUAAUAAAUUAAUUUUAAAUGAUCCGAUAUUCGAUCAACGAACCAAGUUACCCUGGGGAUAACAGCGCAAUCCGUCCCGAGAGCCCCUAUCGACAGGCGGGUUUACGACCUCGAUGUUGGAUCAGGGUAUCCUAGUGGUGCAGCAG
rnacentral:rRNA from 1 species